CUCAUGGAUUGGCUCUCUCUGCAGGGCAGCUCCCCUUGUGAUUUCUGCUGCAGCUCCGUCAGUCAUGUGAAAACCUAAGAAAUUACAGGUAAAAAAAAGGGAUGUGCUCAUUAUUAAACUGAGCACAGACGAGCAAGAAGAGAUGGUCACGGCUGCUCAAUGAAGCACAUGAUUAUUGGAAAAUGUUGGGAUGCUGAGUAACAAGGAUGCACUGUAAGUAAGAAGGGUGGGCUGAACAGGAGAGAGAAAAUGAAAACAGAGGACAAGCUCCCAAAACCGCAAUCGGACAAGUUUUCUUUUAAAAGUUCUGGAGACUAAAAGUCUGAAAUCAAGCUGUCAGCAGGGUCAUGCCCGCUUCCUUAGAAGGCUGUAGAGAAGAAUCCUUCUUUGCUGCUCCUGGCUUCAAGUGGCUGUCACAAUCCUUGGCUUAUAGCUGCAUCACUCCCGUUUCUGCCCCUGGCUUCACAUGGCUUCUUCCCUCUGUGUGUGCUUGUGUUUCUCCAAAUUCCCCUCGUCUUACAAAGACAUUGGUAAUUGGAUUAACACUCACCCUGAUCAGCUUAUUGAAUUUGAAUCAGCUGCUGGAUGCCGUUGUUUUUUCUUGGGAACGUAUUUAUCCCAUUGUGGGCAUGUUCCUGUCUCCAACUCUCCGGCACUUUUUCUUUGCUCUUUAUUGAGAAGUCAACUUUGUGCUGAAGAAGUUUCUGUUUUCCAUAUGAUUGAUCUUCAGGUGGUGGGGGAGCCCUCACUGAAACAGUGGUUUUAAAAAAAUUACACCCUUUCAUCUUUGGUCUCAUCUUGUGGAAGAAAGAAGAACUGAGCUAUUCUACCAACUAUUGUGAACUGUUCAAAUUUCCUCUGGGGAGAAAAACCAGUUGCUUUCAAAGCUCUGAGGAGUAUCAAAAAAUGCUCCUAGGCUAAAUACAGUAAAUAAAAGGCAAUGUGGACUUUCAAAAGACUGCUCCAGGGGCACACGAGAAAGUUUUAGCUGGUGUGAGAAUCACUGAAACAGAAACCUGGGGCAGGUGGGGGGAAGGAACAGAUGAAAUCAGAAAGAAUAUCUAUAAAUUUAGCCUAUAUUUAUAGGGAUACCUAUACUCAUGGUCUUGGUGAAAUGAAACACUGAAAGAAAAUAUGUGCAAUCUCUUUUUAGAGUUUGUGACCUUGCAAAUUAAAAAUGGAAUUUACUGCUUUGUGCAUUAGAUUUAUUAAUAUGGACUUGUUCUUACAUAGCUCUUUAAUCUGUCUUUAUAGGUCAUUAUUUUUUACAACAGGCUCCUACCUUAUCUUUUGGAUUCUAGACUCACUGCUUUAAAUCUAUUUUGUGAGCAUGCUCACACGCAUGCGCGCACACACACACACACACACAUACAAUUAAAUACUGAAGACAUUUUUUGCCCUGGAGGGGGACUUCAAUCACCACCUUCUGAGAGUUGUCCUUGUGUAGUUUUUCUUUCUCAUUGGAUCGGGUUUGUUCUGUGUAACCAACAGUGUGUAACAGAAGUGAUGGUGUGCUGCUUAUGAAAUUAGAUAUUAAAAGACUAGCGUUUCCUUUCUGGAUGUAUUUUUGUUCCUUACCUCCCUCCCUCCAUCUCUUCUCUUCUCUUCUCUUCUCUCUCUCUCUCUCUCUCUCUCUCUCUCUCUCUCUCUCUCUCUCUCUCUCUCUCUCUCUCCACUCACUGCUUCCUUUGGGGAAAGUCAGCUACUACAUAGUGAACACACUCA
rnacentral:lncRNA from 1 species